rnacentral:rRNA from 1 species
UGAAUACGAGACGCUAAGGCGUCGAAGUAGUGUAUGUCAUACUUCCAAGAAAAGCUUGCACUGUCAUAGAUAAAAAACGCCUGUACCAUAACCGACACAGGUGGGUAGGUAGAGUAUACUAAGGGGCGCGAGAUAACUCUCUCUAAGGAACUCGGCAAAAUAACUCCGUAACUUCGGGAGAAGGAGUGCCCUAUUCGUAAGGUUGCAAUAACAAGAUCCCAGCAACUGUUUAUCAAAAACACAGGUCUCCGCUAAGUCGUAAGACGAUGUAUGGGGGCUGACGCCUGCCCAGUGCCAGAAGGUUAAAGAAGUUGGUUAGCAAUUCGAAGCUGAUAACUGAAGCCCUGGUGAACGGCGGCCGUAACGAUAACGGUCCUAAGGUAGCGAAAUUCCUCGUCGGGUAAGUUCCGACCCGCACGAAAGGCGUAAUGAUUUGGAUACUGUCUCGGAGAGGGGCUCGGUGAAAUAGACUUGUCUGUGAAGAUGCGGACUACCUGCACCAGGACAGAAAGACCCUAUGAAGCUUUACUGUAACUUGAAAUUGAAAUUGGACUUUAUUCGCGCAGUAUAGGUGGAGGCGUUGAUUAUAAUCUUGUGGGAUUAUUGGAGCCAUCAGUGAGAUACCACUCUUGUAAUGUUAGAUUUCUAACUUUGAAUCAUUAUCUGGUCAAAGAACAGUUUCAGGCGGGCAGUUUGACUGGGGCGGUCGCCUCCUAAACGGUAACGGAGGCGUACAAAGGUUUCCUCUGAACGGUUAGAAAUCGUAUCUAGAGUGUAAAGGCAUAAGGAAGCUUGACUGUGAGACCUAAAAGUCGAGCAGGGACGAAAGUCGGUCUUAGUGAUCUGACGGUACUGAGUGGAAAGGCCGUCACUCAACGGAUAAAAGUUACUCUAGGGUAACAGGCUGAUCUCCCCCAAGAGUUCACAUCGACGGGGAGGUUUGGCACCUCGAUGUCGGCUCAUCGCAUCCUGGGGCGGUAGUACGUCCCAAGGGUUGGGCUGUUCGCCCAUGAAAGCGGUACGCGAGCUGGGUUCAGAACGUCGCGAGACAGUUCGGUCCAUAUCCGGUGUAGGCGUUAGAAUAUUGAGAGGAGCCUUCUUUAGUACGAGAGGACCGAGAAGGACAUACCUCUGGUGUACCAGUUAUCGUGCCAACGGUAAACGCUGGGUAGCUAUGUAUGGAGUGGAUAACCGCUGAAAGCAUCUAAGUGGGAAGCCCACCUCAAGAUAAGUAUUCC